GAAGCCGGAAUCGCUAGUAAUCGCGGAUCAGAAUGCCGCGGUGAAUACGUUCCCGGGUCUUGUACACACCGCCCGUCACACCAUGGGAGUCGGAAAUGCCCGAAGUCUGUGACCCAACCUUAGGGAGGAGCAGCCGAAGGCAGGUCGGAUGACUGGGGUGAAGUCGUAACAAGGUACC
rnacentral:rRNA from 1 species